rnacentral:rRNA from 1 species
AUGAACGCUGGCGGCGUGCCUAAUACAUGCCAGUCGAGCGAACGGACGAGAAGCUUGCUUCUCUGAUGUUAGCGGCGGACGGGUGAGUAACACGUGGAUAACCUACCUAUAAGACUGGGAUAACUUCGGGAAACCGGAGCUAAUACCGGAUAAUAUUUUGAACCGCAUGGUUCAAAAGUGAAAGACGGUCUUGCUGUCACUUAUAGAUGGAUCCGCGCUGCAUUAGCUAGUUGGUAAGGUAACGGCUUACCAAGGCAACGAUGCAUAGCCGACCUGAGAGGGUGAUCGGCCACACUGGAACUGAGACACGGUCCAGACUCCUACGGGAGGCAGCAGUAGGGAAUCUUCCGCUAUGGGCGAAAGCCUGACGGAGCAACGCCGCGUGAGUGAUGAAGGUCUUCGGAUCGUAAAACUCUGUUAUUAGGGAAGAACAUAUGUGUAAGUAACUGUGCACAUCUUGACGGUACCUAAUCAGAAAGCCACGGCUAACUACGUG